UGCUGGAGUGGAUUUCAAUUUCGAGAUGGGAGCUGCUGCACCACCGACCAAAAAGAACAAGCAAAGCCAGUCAAAAAGCGAUGAGUAAAAGAGAGAACACGAAGUAGAUGGAGAGGUGGGAAAACAUACUGGAACUCUCUGCUUUCACUGCAUUUCUAUACCUGUGGACCCCUUGUGUACCUGCCAACUUCCAACAAUCGCCGGCGUACGCAAAUCGAAUAUACCUGCAUUCCAGGUAUAGCAAAAUAAUAUUCAUCGGGAUUUUUCAUGCCCUUUUUCGUGGAGAGAACAGAGAUCCCUGGAAAUGGAAACGAAACGCGACUACCUGUUACACAGCUCUUCUUCUUUGAAGCGCUCUCCCUCUCUCCGCCACUCUUCGUUUUUUUUUGGACCCUUCAUCAGGUUCGACAUUUUUCUUCUACCUGUUCUCCUUCCGUCAAUUCGGAGCUGUAGCGUAGCUAUUGCUCUCUAGUCCCUCGAAACUAUCUCAAUUGUAAAUUAAACGUUUCAAUCCGGACACACGCUGGCUUAUCUGGGCUAUAUAGACAUAUAAAGCAAUACAUAACAGCUAGCCUAUGUAACAUAUGUACUACCUUAUACUGCUAUAGCUCUCAAGUGCGUGUACUCGAUUGUACAAAAUAAUUAAAGCGGGCUAGAUGUGGCAAUACGCGGCUAGUUCCAGUAGCCCGAUAAGAGCUAGAGCAGUUGUCAUGGAACCGAAGUGCUUGCCGUUGGUGUUAUAACACCAGAUCGUAGAUCUCGGGCCUGAUAUGAUCGGACAUUGGGGAUGUCUGAAGGUCCCACUCGGCAGACAUCACUUUUCGAGGCUAAUUGGGGCUACCAUUACAUAUUAGAUUACUGUAUUUGGAGAUCGUAUGAAGUCAUAAAUUUUCAAGAAAUGUAGAUAUUUAGAAGACAAAUCACCCCACCUCCCAAGUUGAUCGAUUAUGUGAGACACUCAAAGUACAGCCCCAGGUGGAAUGUAAAUAAAUUAUUUUCGCAAAAACUCGUAAAAAUUGCAGCAAUGAAACCUCUCAAUCAGCAAUGACUAGCUUCUGAAUGAAAAGCAACCUGAGAAGCGGGUGAAUGGCUAUAAAAAUCAGUUAUAAAACCAUUAAGCCCAUAUGUCUAUAUACCGAUGUAUACUGUAUAUAUCCCUAAAUGAGAAGAUACUGUCUGGGUUAUAAAUACCCACAGAAAACCGCUGAGAACCACGUCGAGUCCAAUAAAUCGGAUAGAUUGCCAUUUCCCCGUCAUAUACAUAUAUUAAAUUUCACAAGCGUGGACAGUGUGAAACGAAAUUAAAUCUUGGAACACGCUAUGUUCGUUUCUCACAACAGUCAUAUUUCAGCCACACUGGAAACAAUAUUGCAAGGAGUCUACAUUUCUUAAGUGACUACAUCCACUGAUUGUUUUCUGUGCAUUCGUCUUAGUCAUCGACUUCAUGUGAAAUCGAACAUCAACAUAUCUGAAAAUUCCCCGAAAAUCGUCUGCGUCACCUAAAAAACGAUCUGGCGAAAAGCAGAUACAUUUAUACAUCUCUCGAUUUAUUGCUCGUCUUACUCGUGAUUGAACUAUCUGGCUUUGUCAAGUAUCCUGUGGCUCUUUUAUACAUCGUAGGUGUGAUAACGAAAACUCGGGGAUCUCUUAUGUUCAACGAUCAAAUCUUUUAAAUCACGUGCGUUAAGCCCGAUGUGUUCGGAAUUAUAAUUAUCGUAGGCAACAACUUUUCACUGUCAACAGACAGACAGCAUUUACAUACACAAAUAUCGUAUUGCAAUCGUGUUAAUUAAAGAAACUGAGAAACUUCUGUAGAUUUCAAAACACUUGUCAGACAGUAAUUAAGAUUUGAAUUUGG
ensembl:ncRNA lncRNA:CR43837 long non-coding RNA:CR43837